ensembl:snoRNA SNORA72 Small nucleolar RNA SNORA72
CUGCAAAUGUUCUUGCUUUUCUGAUUCUGUGAUACUCAGAACGGGCUAAACAUUCACUCUAACAAGGCCAUGUGUGUGUGCCCAGGCCUAGUUCUUUUGUCUACCUUGGUCUGGUCUGAGAAAUGUCAGCGGUAGAU